rnacentral:rRNA from 1 species
UUAGUUAAGUGAAGAAGAGCGCACGGUGAAUGCCUUGGCACCAGGAGCCGAAGAAGGACGGGACUAACACCGAUAUGCCCCGGGAAGUCGUAAGUAGACUG